AUGUUUAGACCGGAAACGCUUCUGCGUAUACAAAAGUGUGCUGAUGCUACAUUUCGGACUCGGCUAGGCAUUUUCUCUAGGAGAUGGAGAUGUGCCCAUUUUGGGCAGCUGUACAGACAGCACCACCACCUAUGUUUCAUCUGGGAAAGGUUGUUUCAAGUGCACUGAAGAAGAUGGAGUUAUGUCAGAUGAAGAAUUACUGAAUACUUGUGUGGUUCCUAACAGUCCAUCUGACCGAAGUGGAUUAGUACAACACCUCCGUUUGGAGACGUGCAGUUGCUCAGUAACCAGCAAUCUGGGACGAGACUCACUCUAAGCCGUCAUCAGUGGAGGACUUAAACAUGAACUGCUCUUGCAGAUCCUGAAGAGGACGUAAUUGGUCUUAGCCAACAAUUUAAGACAGUUAUGGAAUGAAGUUUUCAUACUGGUAAAGAGGACGUGGUAAAGAGGACAUGGUAAAGAGGUUCUAGUCCCCAAGAAGACUAUGUGCAAGGAUUUCUAAGGUUGUGGGGUAGUUAACUUCCUUUUGUUUCAGUUCAGAUUGAGCAACACAGGUCUUUCUUUAAAAAACAGAUGAUAACCUAACUGCUUUUUCCUAUUACAGUAAAGCAAAAUUGAGGUUAACCCAGACGCA
rnacentral:lncRNA from 1 species